rnacentral:rRNA from 1 species
AACGACUCUCGACAACGGAUAUCUCGGCUCUCGCAUCGAUGAAGAACGUAGCGAAAUGCGAUACUUGGUGUGAAUUGCAGAAUCCCGUGAACCGUCGAGUCUUUGAACGCAAGUUGCGCCCGAAGCCACUAGGCUGAGGGCACGUCUGCCUGGGUGUCACGC